rnacentral:rRNA from 1 species
CGCCUUGCCAGCCCGCUCAGAAACUCAAAGGAAUUGACGGGGGCCCGCACAAGCGGUGGAGUAUGUGGUUAAUUCGAUGCAACGCGAAGAACCUUACCUGGUCUUGACAUCCCGGAGACCCUUAGGAAACUAGGGGGUGCUUCCAUCUGGAAGAAUCUGGAGACAGGUGCUGCAUGGCUGUCGUCAGCUCGUGUCGUGAGAUGUUGGGUUAAGUCCCGCAACGAGCGCAACCCUUGCCUUUAGUUGCCAGCAGUUCGGCUGGGCACUCUAAAGGGACUGCCGGUGUUAAACCGGAGGAAGGUGGGGAUGACGUCAAGUCCUCAUGGCCUUUAUGACCAGGGCUACACACGUACUACAAUGGCCGAUACAAAGGGCAGCGACACUGCGAGGUGAAGCCAAUCCCGUAAAAUCGGUCUCAGUCCGGAUUGGAGUCUGCAACUCGACUCCAUGAAGUUGGAAUCGCUAGUAAUCGUGGAUCAGCAUGCCACGGUGAAUACGUUCCCGGGCCUU